AAAAGCUUAGGAUUAAGUAUUAAACCAGUGGCCUUCAACACCACAAACAAGGUAGGACCCUUAGCUUUUG
rnacentral:tRNA from 1 species